UCCAUCAAUAAAAAGAAAAUAUUUUUAAUUUAUAAAUGUAUUUUAUAAUUGUAUAUAUAAUAUAAAAUAUAAU
rnacentral:tRNA from 1 species